rnacentral:lncRNA from 1 species
AAAGUUAACAACUAUAGGUCACCAUACAUCCUUUAACCAUGAGCAAAGCCCAUACAUUAUACCAUAUAUACUGUAAAUUCUGAAAUAUUGUGUGCAUUUAUUAUUGCCACCAUUGCCAUUUUCAGUGGCAGAUCCAGAAAUUUUCAUAAGUGAGGGCCCACUGACUGCCUAAGAGGGGGCCCGCUCCGGUCAUGAUUCAGUGAUUCCCUAUAUA